rnacentral:rRNA from 1 species
GGAAUAUUGGACAAUGGGCGCAAGCCUGAUCCAGCCAUGCCGCGUGAGUGAUGAAGGUCUUAGGAUUGUAAAGCUCUUUCAGUGGGGACGAUAAUGACGGUACCCACAGAAGAAGCCCCGGCUAACUUCGUGCCAGCAGCCGCGGUAAUACGAAGGGGGCUAGCGUUGUUCGGAAUUACUGGGCGUAAAGCGCACGUAGGCGGAUAUUUAAGUCGGGGGUGAAAUCCCGGGGCUCAACCCCGGAACUGCCUUCGAUACUGGGUAUCUUGAGUUCGGAAGAGGUGAGUGGAAUUGCGAGUGUAGAGGUGAAAUUCGUAGAUAUUCGCAGGAACACCAGUGGCGAAGGCGGCUCACUGGUCCGAUACUGACGCUGAGGUACGAAAGCGUGGGGAGCAAACAGGAUUAGAUACCCCGG